ACCUGAGAUCUUAUUGGGACGCUGCUGAUAACCAGUUUCAGAGACAGGGUUUCACCAUGUUGUACAGGCUAGUCUCCAACCCCUGGGCUUAAGCAAUCCUUCUGCCUCGGCCUCCCAAAGUGCUGGGAUUACAGAACCAAACUGGGACUGGAAAGUACACCAACAGCUCUCCUACCUCUCAGGUCUUUGGACUUAGACUGGAACUGUACCAUCAACUCUCCUGGUUUUACAGUUUGUAACCGAAGAUCUUGGGACUUCUCGGCCUCCAUCAUCUUGGCCUGCAGCACCCUCAAUUCUUGCCUUCUCAGAAGAAAGAAUUUGACUGCGGGGGCAUAAGGCAGAAUGAAAGACCAAGAGAUGCUCAAGCACUGAAUUGUCUUAAGAAAACAAGUAAGGUUUUGUCACCUAUCCUAUUUCUCACUGCAAGUUGAAAAAAAUCAAAUCCAAACACCACCACCCCUUCUAUGACAACAAACGGCUGUGGAGGUAAUCUUAUUUUCCUAAGGGUAGUUUCAUGAUGACAGUGUCAAAAAAUUACUGUGGAUAAAGAAAAAAUUGUCUCAAUGAAAUAGAAUUUUUCACUGAACACAGAAACCAUCUCAAUAGUUGCUGCUCCCUGGUUUCCAGGCCACGCAACAGACAUCAAACCAGGAAGCCAAACUUUCAUGGACCUGUGUUAAGAAAAACACACAUACAUGGGCAUACUACUUUUUCCAGAAAAACGGAAUUAGGCAGAGAAGGAAGUGUGGGUGUACAACUGAUCCACAAGC
rnacentral:lncRNA from 1 species